rnacentral:lncRNA from 1 species
GGGAGCCGGUGGGCGUGGAAGGCGGGAGACGGGACAGGCAUCUCAUUCCUGAUCGCCUCCACGCCCGGCCACCCGGAGACACCGAGGCUCACGAUGGCUUUCAGCUUUGCCGCUCAGGACUCAGGAAGCAGUCAGCACAGGGGAGCGCCAGCGCGUUCCCGAGGGUGCCGGCCUGUCCCGGUCCUGGCCUUCUCCAAGCCUCACUCCUUGAUCCGUGAUCUGUCACAGCCACCUCGCCCUUCUGCUUACUCCCCACUGUUGGGCGGGAAUGAGAAAAGCGCAAAAGUCAGCAGUGAAGCGGUGUUUGGUGCCGCACGCCUGUCAACCCAGCACUCUGGCAGGCUAAGGCAGGAGGAUCACACGUUUGAGCCUAGCCUGGGUAACUUAGGCACUUAGAGAGACCCUGUCUCAAAAUAAAAAAUGAAAAUGAAAAAAAGAGCUUGUGAUUGUAACUCAGGGGGAAUCCACAGUUCUAUCCACACAACAAACAAUAAAAGAACAACCUGCUUCCUAUGGCUCAACAACAAAAGAGCUAAUCCGAUGCUAAAGUGGACCAAGGACUGCUUUCUAACUAGCAGUUGGCAGGAGCUGGGCUGGGUGGGAUGAAAGUUAAGGGGGAGGGGUCUCCUUUCGGGGUGUUGAAAAUAUUCUGGGACUACAGAGAGGUGAUGGUGUCACGCGGUCAAUGUACUGAGAUCCACGGAACGUUUUGCAAAUUUCACCUCAAGUUUUUGUUGUUGGAUUUUUGAGACAGGCUCUGGGUAUGUAGCCCAGGCUGGCCUCGAAUUCAUUGCGAUCCUCCUGCCUCAGCUUCCCGAGUGCUGGGAUUACAGGCCUGCACCACCCUGCCUGACCUCACCUCAAAAUUUCAAGGUUAAAAAUAACAUUUAAUAAAGCGCCUUGGGAAGAACAGGUUGUGGGUUGGGAGGAGUCCCGGUGGGCCUCUAGGGGGAGGCAUGCACUGCUCAGAGCCUUGAAGGAG